rnacentral:lncRNA from 1 species
CUAAGUUUCAAGUUGAUUGGACUUCAAUUUCAUCAAAAACUACCUUGACCAAAAACUUUAACCUGAAACUCCCACUUUCAUUUUCUAUGUUCAGCGGACCGUGAAAUUGGGGUCAAAAGUCUAAUUUGGCUUUAAAAUUAGAAAGAUCAUAUCAUAAGCAACAAGUGUACUAAGUUUCAAGUUGAUUGGACUUCAGCUUCAUCAAAAACUACCUUGACCAAAAACUUUAACCUGAAACUCCUACUUUCAUUUUCUGUGUUCAGUGGACCGUGAAAUUGGGAUCAAA